AGAGCCACAGUUCGUCACCAAUCGAAGCCAUGGAACACAAUCCUUGUCUUUUUCUGGCCCUGACUUGUAUCCUAUUCAUGGCCCAGCAUUGUUUGGCAGCACCGUCGGCCGAUGAUUUGGCCAAGUUUGGGGAAAUGGAACGAUCCAUCAGGGAGCUGGCCAGUUCGAUCCUGGCCCUGAGUGGAGCCACUGCCGGCACGCGCAGUGAUGUACCUAAUAGAGUUUGGCCUGAGGAACUGCAGGCCUAGGUUUUGGUCAAAACCAGUGGGCUCGGUCUACUAAAUCGUGUUUAGCAGCUCUGCAGUUUGUCAUUUUGCACACAGGCAAGAAGAAAUUCCCCUUGAUGAACCAAAAUCUCAUUGUCUUUGCCCCGCUCGACACCC